rnacentral:rRNA from 1 species
AUGAAAUUCUAUUAUACCAAAGGGACUCGGUAAAGGCGAAGGCAGCCCUCUAUGUAAAAACUGACGUUGAAGGACGAAGGCACAGAGCACAAACAGGAUUAGAUACCCAAGUAGUCUUUGCAGUAAAUGAUGAAUGUCAUAGGUUAGAUUAAGCUUUAAUUAAUUAGUUUAUCAGUAAUGAACUAACUAUUAAACAAUAUUUAGUCUAUAAAUGAAAGUGUAAGCAUUCCACCUCAAGAGUAAUGUGGCAACGCAGGAACUGAAAUCACUAGACCGUUUCUGACACCAGUAGUGAAGUAUGUUGUUUAAUUCGAUGAUCCACGAAAAACCUUACCACAAUUUGAAUAUUUUACAGGAGUUGCACGGCUGUUUUCAGUUAAUGUUGUGAAACUGUGGUUUCCAUGAAAUUAACGCAAUCCCUGGCUUUAUUUUUUUUUUUAUUACGAUAAAGCAUUUGAUCCAGGAUUUGGAAAGAAAAAGGGGACAAAGACAAGUCAUCAUGGCCUUGAUAUUGUGGGCUAUAGACGUGCCACAUAUUCCUACACAAAGAGAUGCAAAAAUGUGAAUUUAAGCUAAUCUCUAAAAAUAGGAUAUAAAUUUUAAGGAUUAUAGUCUGAAACUCGACUAUAUGAAUAAGUAAUUACUAGUAAUCGUGAAUCACCAUGUCACGGUGAAUUUACCUUGGAUUGGUACUAACCACUCGUCACAUGCUGAAAAGAGCAUGCGCAAUAAGUUUGCUUUCUUGAUGAUUAGUAAAAAGAAUAAGCAGGUUCUAUAUUCUAUUAUUAAG